ACAUGCCUACAACAUAGUGUUAAUGCACUAUAUCCCAUUAAAACUCUGUAUUUAAGCCCACUCAGGCUAGAGUAGUACUAGGAUGGUGACCACCCUAGAAGUUCUAGUGUUUUACAUGCC
rnacentral:rRNA from 1 species